ensembl:lncRNA
AAGUCGGACUAUCGUACUCUGGAACACGCUUCAAUAGAUUAACGUUCGUGCGCAUGAGCACGCAAUCGCGUGAUACCGGGUUGUCAUAUGACACAGUUGCAGCAGCCAUAAAGGAUCCACUCGUCUUGGCCAAAUUGCAGUUCUACGCAGCAAUUGCCAGGACCUUCAAUCCCUUCCUGAAAAAAUAUCAGACGGAUAAGCCUGUGCUCCCAUUCCUCCCCAAGGACCUGACCGAGUUGAUGGUGGUAACAAUUUACUUAACGUUAUAACCACUGAUUGGGCUCAAUUGAUCCAUUAUGACAAAAUGGGGUUUGUGGUUAGGAUGUGUAAAAAAUAGUUGCUACAUUGUGCAUCAUCAUAAGAUAAUUUGAUGUUGGUGAUUAAUGUGCCGCACCAGACAUUUUUGUGUUUGUCUGUUGACAGAGUCUACUCAGACGCUUCAUAAAGAGAGAAGUACUACACGAUAUCACUGCCCUGCAGCUGACCAAACUGGAUGUCACAGACAAGACCAUCUGGCUCAGCCCACAAGACAUCAGCAUUGGUCUAGGUGCAGAGUUAGUCCUUUAGAGAAUCAAAGGUGCAGAGCUCAGGGUGCUCGAGUUCAAGAGAGAGUGCUUGCAGUGACUGAGUAACAUGAUCAAGAAAGUGCAGGACAAGAGCCCCCUCAUGUAUCUGACUGUUAGGCAGAUGGUGUGCCUGGAUCCGUCAGUAAUAUAUAGAGAACCAGAAAGAGGCAGGAAUCACAUGAAAGGGCUGGUUCAAAGGUUUCUCCAGGACAGACAGCUUACUGAUACUUCUUCGGGGGAUGUCAUACUGCAGCAGUUCGACAGUCUCCUGUCCUUGGAGAGCCGGAGUGAGGACUUCCUCUCCUUUCAACCCAUGCAGAAGAGGCUGGACAUCUUCCUGAGCAGCGCCAUGGAGCCUUAUCCCGAGCUGUGGGCCUUCUGCAAGAAGCUGCUCAUCCUCUCCCACGGUCAAGCUAGUUGAGCGUGGAUUCUCAAUCAAUAAAGAGGUGGAGUCUGAUAACUUGGCGGAGGAUACUGUGGUCACACGGAGACUGGUGUGUGACUACAUCAUACAACGUGGAGGCGUUACCAAGGUUCCAUUCAGUAAACCGCUACUGGAAAGUGUAGCAAGGGCAAGGACAAGGUAUCGUACCCAUCUGGAGACCAAAAGAAGGAACAGGGAGGAAAAAGACCAGGCUCUCAAGAGGAGGGAAGCAGAGGACUGUCUUGAGGAGCUGAAGGUUAAGAGGAGACGUGUACAGGAGGUAUCUGAGGGUCUGGCUAGGGAUGCGGACAAGAUGGCUGAGGAGGCUGAAGCGAAGGCAGGGAGCAAGAUGGCUGGCCUGAUCACCAGGUCAAACAUCUUGCGGAGAGGCCAUAAGGAGAAGUUGGCAGAACUGGCUCUCCUUGAUAAAGAGAUCGCUGCUAAGAGUGCAGAGCUUAGGAGUUGACUGUGUGAUGGUGAUCAUAAUUUUAUUUAUUGUUGAGUUGAUUUUUAUUUUUCAGGAGUCUGUGCUGUUGGCGUAAGUACUCACCACUAUGCUGCAAUGUUCCAUCAUUCCAUAAUGCUUUACAGUCCACAUUUUCACAUUUGUUGAAAUAAAUGAACACAUUUUGAACAAACGUUGUCGGUAGGUCUGUGAAAUAGGCCGUGAAAUAGGUAUUAAUUUUUAUAUAAGUGGUCUUAAAAGGGACUUAAAAAGACUUGAAUUUGACUUGAACAAACCUGUAGGAACC